rnacentral:snRNA from 1 species
GUGCUCCCUUCAGCAGCACUAUACUAAAACUGGAACAAUGUAGAGAAGAGGAGCAUGGCCCCUGUGCAAGGACGACACCCGAAUUGGUGAAGCGCUGCAUAUUUUA